rnacentral:misc_RNA from 1 species
GAUCAUGAAUAACCUCCAGCACCUGAAUCCAUGAGCAUUUGAUGGAUCAAAGAUACAUAUCUAAAGAAAAUGCAAAUGUGGAACCAUUUUUAUUCGAGAAAUUAAAGAAUGCUAGAAGCUGAUUACAGGGAAGAAUGAAUUAAACUACAUAAAGGUUCAAAGUACACAAUUGAGACAUAAUCAUACUUUAGAACAGUAUCAUUGUAGAAAUAGCAUAGCAGUUGAAGAAGCAUCUAACAAGAGGUCAUGUGGUCCAAUCAAAAAAAACUACAGAAUGGAAUUUUUUGUUAUGUAAACCAACAGCUUUUUGAAUGCAUCUACUCCUCAAUGAAGAAUAUGUAUUUCAAAAGGUCCAUCAGAGACAACCAAUUAAUGCAAUUAUUAUCAACAUUGAUUUUGGUACUUUUAUCUCAUGUAAACCUAAACAAGAUUAAGAACCUUGCCAAAUAUACUUUAGUUUUGCACAGCAGGAUUCCAAUUCUACAGAAUCAAUUUGUAAGUUUAUGUGAUUUGUUAGAAUGGUAUGUAUAUAAUUAGGGCUUUAAUUAGAAGAUUAAAUCCCUUUAGUUAAGGGAUUUCUUGAUUAGGGUAAUUUUGUAUAUCUUCCAUUUUAGGAUCACAAAAACUGUAUAUAUAUCCCUCAGAAGCGUGAGGGAAUAAUCAAGCUAUUUUCCCCCAAAUUCCUCUUCUUCUACAUAAUUGUUUAUAUAAAU